rnacentral:tRNA from 1 species
UCCCUGGUGGCUCAGAUGGUAAAGAAUCUGCCUGCAAUGCAGGAGACCCAGGUUCAAUCCCUGGAUUGGGAA